CUUCUUUUCAAUUUCGUAAAAACACGAAAAUGUUUACAAACAUUUUUCACAAGUUUAACGAGAUUUUUACAAGAAAAACUCAUAAACGUUUUUUAAACUGCUACGUUUAUUAAACUCUUACUGCGAAAACACAACAAAAACAAAAAAUAUUUGGCAUUCAGGUUUUAAGGAAAAAGAAUAAAUCAUGUGAUAUCAAUAAUUGUCCUUUAUGCAUACAAGAAAGAAUAACCUUUGCAUUUCUUACAUUAUCCAUCUCGAACAGUGGUAAAAUUUUUAGAAGAUCACGUUUUUUAAUAGUUUGAAAUGAAUUUCUGAAUUUCGCCAUAACAAAACUGAUUGUAUUUCAAAACACAAUACUAUCUUUUCACAAUAUUUGAAAAAAACGUGUUCCUUUUUCUGCAAUCAUGCUUAUACGAGAUCGGAGACAUAUUUUUGUGAUAGCUACAAAAAAUAAUAAAGGUUUAUGUUCAGGUAUACAGCAAAGUGAUUGUCAGGAAAAGAAAUCAACUUGAAAUGCUUUAUAAUAACAAACAAUAAUAAUAACAGAAACAUGUUGUAUAACACACUUAAAUAAAAAUUCAUUAAAAUGUCCACAUGACCAGCUAUUAAAACGAUGUUUUUCUCCGAAUAUAUACAGCAUUCUUACGUAUGUAUGCUUGAUUAAUAUCAUCUCUAACUCCUUUCUUCAAGAAUCACAAUCUUUUUUUCAACAAUAAACUGAAAAAGGUUUAUCUUACUAUUGAAUCCUUCAUUUCAUAAAAUAUAAAUUUUUUGUAUUUU